rnacentral:lncRNA from 1 species
AGGCAAAUGAAUAUUUAUUCUCUGUAGUCAGGCUGUGUGGCACUUCGUGGCUGAACCGACAGAAUUGUGUUCACCAGACCCCAAAAACUUUUACAGCCCCAUCUAUAGAUAUGAUCAAUACACACAGGGCCAGAGAAGUAUGUUAUACUCUUCACAAAAAAGAAAAGCAGGCAGGCUAGGCGCGGUGGCUCACGCCUGUAAUCCCAGCACUUUGGGAGUUCAAGGCAUCAUGUGUCAUUCUCACAGCUGUUAGGACUUCAAUGAUGUUAUAAGGAAGUUGGGGCUCAGAGAAGCUACAGAACUUACCCAAGGACACACAGCCAUCACGAAAAACAUGGCCAGCAAAGCAGGUGAGGCAAAGAUCAGGAAGGACAUUAAACGCCAAACUAAGGAGCGGAACUGAAUGAGCAGUGAAGGGGAACAAUGGCUUCAGCAGGUCCACUGGGCUCCUCUUUUCUGUCAGCCUCCCCCUACCCCUCACCUCUGUACUACUCAUGUUACUAUCUACGUCUCUUCACCAAUGUCAUUGUGGAAAUAAAAGCUUAUCUGUAAGAGU